UUCUUAUAGAUUUAAUUAUAAGUCAAAUCUGCUCAAUGUAUAUAAAUAGCCGCAGAUUUUUACUGUGCUAAGGUAGCAUAAUCACUCGUUUUAUAAUUAAAAACUAGAAUGAAAGAUUAAACGAUUUAAAAACUAUUUCUUAAUAUUUAAAUAAAAUUUAUUUAAGAAUAAAAAAGUUCUUAUAAAAUAAAAAGACGAUAAGACCCUAACAAACUUAACUCUAUGUUUAACUGGGGAAGUAAAUAAACUAAAGCUUAUAAAAAAAAAUACAAAAAAAAACUUAUAAAAAUCAAACAAGUUACUGUAGGGAUAACAGCGUCAUAUUUUAUUAAAGCCCUAAUUUCAUAAAAAUAUUGCGACCUCGAUGUUGAAUAAUUACUCUAAAUAGCGCAAAAGCCAUAAAAGAAAGUCUGUUCGACUUUUAAAAAAUUACA
rnacentral:rRNA from 1 species